rnacentral:pre_miRNA from 1 species
AUCACCUGGAGAUCUUGUUAAAAUGCAGAUUUAGAUUCAGAAGGUCUGGGGUGAAGCCUGAGAUUCUGUGUUUCUAACAGGCUCUCAAGUGAUAAUGA